GGGGCAUUGGCGCAGCUGGUAGCGCAUCUGCUUUGCAAGCAGAGGGUCGCCGGUUCGAACCCGGCAUGCUCCACCU
rnacentral:tRNA from 1 species